rnacentral:misc_RNA from 1 species
ACACAUGUUCUUCGCGGUGUUGCGCGGCUGUCGGUGGUGGUGUGGCCUUUCCGUUUCUUUCGCGGGUCGCGCGCGUGUGUGCAGUGGUGUUUCCGUGUGAGCUCGCGGUUCGGGUCCUGUUGUUUACGGCCGAAACGACCACUUCCGCCAGCGUUGCAGCAAGCCGCAUCGGUUCCUACGGCGGCUCCUGUAUGCCUACCUCGACAAAAUGAAGGACCAGGCGGGCCCUUCGGACUCCUGGGUGUCCGGCGUCAAGUUGGGCAUCGUCAGGCUGGGCCGCGCCGCCGGAAAGAUAAAGUAUACCCUGCUGGAUGAAAGGGACAUAACACUGGUCCACGAAUACUCAUUUGAGGCUCGUGUGGAGGUGGACAAGGAUGGCAAUGGGGCCCAGAUAUUUGCCUACGCCUACGAGAUGAAUCAGGGAAAGAGCACUGGGCAGUACCUCCACCAGCUGCUCUGGGAGCGACACUUUGGUGGAGUUGCUCCUGGGUUCCGGGUGGUGCAUCUGAAUGGGGUCACUAUGGACAACCGGCUGGAAAACCUGGCUCUGGAGCGCAUAUGCCUGCUCUCGGCACCUCACCUGGCUGACGUGCACAUGCCGGCUGCCCCCUCAACGCCUGUGGCAGAGUCUCAGCCAAACAAGCAGCGCGAGCAGUCCCUCUACUGGGCUGCCAUCCAGCAACUACCACCAGAGCACCUUGUGGAAGAGCUUGCAGAUGCUGCUGUCACCAAGUAUUACAAUGCCAACGGUGAAGUGAUUGAGGAAGAUGAGGAGGGUGGCUGCUACUACGAGUGCCACUAUCCGCCCUGUAGCAGCCUGGAGCGGGAGCCCCGCGAAUUCAGCAUCUGUGGCCGCUGCCAAGCAGCCCGCUAUUGUGGCCUCUUCUGCCAGCAGCGUGACUGGCCCUUACAUAAGCGCCACUGCCGUCCCCGGCUCCGAGCGCAUCGUGAGAAACCCCCCGAGCGAUGACUUGUCAUUUCCACGUUCAUCUGAGGCAGCCUGUCAUCUGAGCUCUGCACAUUGGGGACAUUCUUUCACUGCCAGCCUGUCAAUAGUACCUGCUGGCUGUGGUUAGAAGCACCGCUGGGACCUGCACUUCUCAAGGUGGUGACAGCCAUAUUGGCUCAGUCCCUGGGAGUCCUGUCGACUGCCAAGCUUCAUGAGAGUGUGUGCUUCCCUUGGGAGAACUUGUGAGCUGUGGUGGCAGCGCUACCAGAGGCCUUGUCAUGCUAAUUGAGCAUUCAUUGCUCUUGCUUCACUGCCAGAACAUCGGUGCACAAACCGUGGGGUGUUGCACUUGGCAGAACCGGCACAACCUGAUCACCUCUCUGCAUAUGGCAGUGCCUCCAAUUGAACACUUAAGUGUGUUUUUGUACUCUGUGUCUAUUAAAGCAGUGCAUGCAUGCGUGUUAUCCCUCCUUCUUGCUUUCUCACAAUCAUGUCAAUGCAUCCAUCAGGCUUUUAUUAUUUUCUUUUAACUGGUGCUGUUGCCUUCCUGUGUCCCUCUAGUUUUGCCGUGAUGUGUUUUCUCGUCAAAAGUGUUCUUUGUUGUUGGCAGCAUGCAGUUUUAAUGUUUGGGUUGUCGUUACCAUUCUCACUUGAGGUUGUGCGAGAGAGUGGUGGUGUUGAGGAGUUCCAACGUCAUUGACAUUCCUUUGAGGCUUCCCUCUGCCCAGCUUUGUUGCUUGCAGUUGUCCAGUAGGCUAAUAUAAAUUGUUGCAUCCAUUCUUGUGAGCAUGCAUCCUGAACUUGUUCUGAUGUUUGGUUUCAAGCUGGAGAAUUUGAGCCUCGAGUUUCAAUUUUUAUGUCGGCAGCAGUCUUUUUUUUCCAAUUUUAGCCAAAGCAGCACCUGGGGUCAGUUUCACUGCUAAUGGAAAGGAAAAGAGCUUUGUGAACUUCCUGGCAAAUGCUCUAUAUUAACGAGGCCUGAUGAGAGUGCACAAGUCCCAAUUUAAGCUGCUAGAAAGCUUGCUAGUGAGCUGUGCAUUGAAUGCCUUCCCUUCCCCCCAUCUCUUACUUGCCCUUUCUGAACUCUUGCUGAGGGUCCAAAACAAAGGUGUCUUGUAGAAAACAGAGAUAUCAAGCCUAUUUCGGUGAAGCAGUAAAUGAUGAGUAAUAACUCCCCAGCAGUUCUAACCACUAUGAAAAUAAUUCCGCUGCUGGUAAACUGCCUCUGGUGUAGCUGUUGGAUAUACUGCCACUUGUAUCUGGAGCCAGUCAACUGUGCUUUGUCGGAACAGUGUUUUGUACAGAGCGCUCCAGUGUGUCUGCAAUUACUGCACCCUUUGAUGUUGGAUGGUAGUGCCAGUUUUGAGAUCCAAUUUCCUGCCCACAAUUGCCCCCUGUAAACACUCCUACCUGUAGGCUAGCUGGUAAUCAAUCUAUGGGCAGUGUCACCAGUAUGUUCCGAGUGACCACCCUUUUAAGUGUGCUUGGUAACGUGCACCCACAACAAUGUUGCUUGGUGUAAGAGCUUACACAAACUGUCACUGGUGUCCUUGAAAAGUGUCGUUUGUGUUGCUGUUACUGAUCAUGGUCACUAGAAUUGUGCUAGUGCCAUCUGCUCAUUUCCACUGAGGAGCUUUACGCGCAAGUGUUGGAAGAACUUUGAAGGGUCCUCCAGGUUUUCCCCACUGCAGUUCUGCUGUUUCACCUCCAUGCCGUCCGUGCCCUCUCUGCCAAAUUCUGUCGGCACUGCCCAUGCACUUUGUCUGUGAAGCCCACUUUCUCAAGGAAAAUCGCCACAGAGACUUCUACCUCCCUCAUAUGACUUGUACAGGUCUGUUGUUCUUGUGGGUAGUGUAAGCUACAUUUCUUACCAAGGCCCUUGUGUCAAGUGUUGUCCACUUGCAACACAGAGGUGGAAUAGCGUGCCACUUUUCGGUUGUGACACACAGGCCUGAGUUGUUGGCUGUCUGAAACUUCUGUCCACAGUACGGGUGUUGAGAAUGCAGUUUCAGUGGUGUUGUAGCUUUUGUGUGCUCUGCAUUUAGGGAGAGCAUGUUGCCAGUGAUAGAGCAGCACACAUUCAAGAAUGCUAUAGGUGCUGUGUGGAAUGAACCACCUUGUGAUCUGUCGUUGAGCUGUUUGCACAUGGUUGCAUAGUGACGGUACCUGUACACUGCCAGUUGUACUCGUAGUUGGAGUUUCGGUUUGAUAAUGUGAGACGUGUGAAGCCUUUUGAAAUGAGCCAAAUCCUGCCACACUUCAGCAGUGCCGAUUUUGUUCUUCUUGCAAUUGGAAGCAUUCAUGUAUAACAGAUUUGUGCUGUCCGAUUGCCAACUGCAAGCACAACAUAGCAGCCGCAGCAAACGAGAAUAGGUGACAUUGGCUAAAAAUAGUUACAGGAGUUGCGCAUUUUUGCACUCAUUACAGUUUACACCACCUGGUAUUUGCUGAGGCACCGAAAACGUGGUCUGGGUUUUGGAAGUGCACCUGCAAUUGGCUAGUUCAUACAUUUUCAGCUUAGCUGGAUUGUGGACUCAUUUUUGAAACGUGUGGCUGAGACAUGAGGCUGUGGCAUGACUGUUCUAGAUCCAAACAUACUCUUGAGGUCUACUGCAAGAAGUUUGCUGAGUAUCUCUUCUGUCUGGGGAAGGUAGCAGCAUCGUUAUUGCCAGGAGUUAUAUCCCGAAUGCUCAAAGAAAUGAAUACAGGGUUCCGUAUGCUCUUGGUGCCCCCAUUGUGUUGCAGUGCAGAGAUCUCUUUGGCCUGAACAGCAUUGAUACUCCUGCAGCUGUCAACGAAAUGACGGCUUUCUGGCAGCUACUUCGUUUUUGUGGUGCAAACUGCAAUUGGUGUGGAGUAGUUAAAUAGUGAGCUGUUGCAUCAGGACAGCUGAGUAACAUGCAGGUCUGUUAACAUUUUUGAAGACUGGUGUAAAACAUUGUCAUUUGCAUGUUUUUCAAUGUAUUUUAUCCUUUUUGACCACUCAAAUGUUUUACUUGUCUUUGUGACUGCUUUUACCUUGUCUAAUGUACAUUGCUGCAACUUUUUUUAACUUGGGAGUUCUGAAAUUUUGUCAUUAUAUUUAGCCUCACUGCUCAUGUCUGCAUCUCUAUUAUCAGAAAUCUGUGUUGCGAGGAUUGUGUUAAAAAUAUCGACACCAGUUUACGUGUAGUUGCGACUGGUAAAAUGGAAAAUCCCAUAAAAAUGAGCGAUAGGUGCUGAAUUAUUAUGCCUAGUUUGUCUUCUACCUUGUUUUCAAUUUCUGAAGCUGGUCAUUUUGGCAAAUUGUUGCGAUUGCUACUCACACACAACACCCUUUGUCAAAGAAGUUUCAGGACUGAUUAUUACAAGCUUAUAUUUGAAUAAGCAAGUUUGAAUUGCAGAAUGCCUCACAUAUGUCUGGGGGGUAGUGAAAAUGUUUCAUAUGUGACCUACUGAGACGUUUAUUGCACUGUUGUGUUCAGUUUGAGCAGCAGAAGCAAUGCUUGUAAAUAUGGAGCAGUGCAUCAGUAUAAAGGUUCGUCAAGUUAGGGAAAUUAAUUGCAGCAAGCAUGGAACUUGCUGCAUUAAAUGUAUUGUGACCAAGUACUUUUCUGAAGCCACCUGUUAUGGUACAAGAAUUUUUGGGAGGGUAGGAUUUCAAUGGGAGACCUGCACAUAUUCACAAUUCGGCUGGCUCAUGUAGUGAGAAGCAUUGCCAAAGAAGCCUUCACACUUGCUUGCUUCGAAAGCUGCUUCGAAACAUCCUCUAAGCUGUGUAGGUAGCACGGCAAAAUACCUUGGCAAGACAAAUAGCUAUUUGAUCAGUUUUGCAAUUGCAAAACAAGGGGAAGAUUUUGGGGCGUACUUGAAGGCAACAGUUACAUAGCCUAGCAGCUACUGAGAAGAAACUGCCCUAAUUGUAUUGGCUCACAAGCUACAGCAUGUUUGUUUGUAUGGCUGUAAACUCCCAUGGUGCCAUUUGCCAAAUUUGGCUGUUCUUGGUACUGCCUGCCUUUGUGGGCACUGUUCUCUUUAGUAGCUGACACUUUUGUGAAAGAUGUUGAAACCUUGUUGAGUUGUGAUAAUCUUCAAGAGCCUAAGAGCUUGCACAUUCACACAAUGAGAUGGGCUCUCAUUCAUUGCACUGGCAAGUGCGUCUGCUGUAACCCAAAUAUGUGCGCUUUUUUGUUGACUUUCUUGUGCCAUUACCAAAAAGCGUUCCAGAGCGAUCGAGAUUUGUCAUUAGCUGCAAAGUUCAUUGCAAGUAGCUUUGCAGAGGUCGUCCUUCUAGGAAAGGCCAGGAACAGGCAGUUUGCAUAUAACCUCUGUUGCUCACGCUAAGACCCCCUAACAAGCUUUAUGCACUGGCCUGUUUCAUAAUAUGCCAAAGGGGACGGCCCAGGUCUCUUGAUUGUUUUUUAUACCCAAUAUUUUCGGUCAUCAAGUGCAUCUGCUGUUUUGCUGUGUAAAACAUCACACAGAAGCAAUGGCAUAUUGUAGAUUGUAGUUUAUUUUGAGUGUUGUACCAUGGUCUCUGUGUUCCGUAUUCUGCAUUCUAGUCUGGCUGAGUGAACACAAUGAGCGCAUGAUCUCAACAAGCCAACCAGAGUGCAGAAUGAGUGACGUUCAUCACAUGUGGCUCUGUUUACCUUUUGUUUAGCAACUCAUUUGCACAUUAAGGAUAGUAGCUUCAUUGUGCCGUGUGGUCAGUUGCAAAAUGCAUGAGAACUGCAGCAGUAGAGCUAGCAUUGUGCAACCUUGUUCAUGUCUUAAGGGUGACAGGUAGGUCGCGCUGAUGCACAGAACUGUGGCCAUUUUUCAUGUAGCUUUUGACUGCUUAAAAUUUGUAAUAAGCUGCCUGUUGAAUUUGCUAAUUUGCUACCGAAGUAGAAAUGGGCAGAGAUUCCUCGUAUGAAUGGCCAUCCAACUGUACUGCGCAGACCGAUCCACCUUUCGGUGAUGCUGCCCUAUAUUACAAUGCAACUGGUUCCAACUUGUCUGUGCCUUUGCAUGGCUGCCUACAGUCAGCAGCUGCGCUGGUGCGAGCCCACCCACCUAGGCUUGAGCAAUAAGCUCCCUGCCCAUAUCAUGACUAUAACAACUCUUUUUGCAUUUUGUCAUUGUUCAAAACUGCUCCACAUACAAGAUCAGUCAGUCAUGGGCAGUGAAUGAUAAAAGGGAAACAGCACUCUGCCACACUUUUGUCUUCAAAGUGCUGCAACCGUUUUGUGUGAAGGCACUUGCUUGGCGCUUCAGUUAUUGCAUCAACAGGGUUCCGCUGGCAUGUGUCUGCUGUGCGAAGGUGCAGGGUGUUUGGGUGCGAUCUAAUUGUUUUUGUUGUGGUGGAAUAAUCUAGUCCCUUGCUACGCACUGGCCUGUUUAUUUUCUUUGAUUUUUCUUUUAUUGCUGCACUGUUUGCAAGUUUAAGCAAGUCUGAGUAUUUACAGGGUUUUGCACAAAGGUACAUGAAUUCUUGGCUCUCUGAUCGUCCCAGUGAAUUGGUGAGCUAUGAAAGGGUGUGCAGCUGGGAAAUUUGUUUAUAUUAUUAGGAAGUGGGGAGACAAAGCUUGAAUUAAAAAAACUGAACCGAUCAUGUUUUCAUCUCUCUAAUUGUUCUAUAAACCAUUUCCCCAUUCCUUAAGAAUGGUAGGAUGGGGUUGUGAAAGCUCCUGUGGAGUGGCUGUAUUCUAUGGGGCAGCUUUCACAGAAUGUUUUAAUGUACAAUGGAUUGCAACAGACUUUAACGUACAGAAAUUUCUUGAGAGCAUCAGUAGAUAACCCUGCCCAUAGGUAAUAAAGUGACCGCUGGUAACUAUCUGAAAUGACAGACUAGUAGUAGUAAGCUCCCACUGGGUCGAGCACUUCUGACCGGCACUUACUGUUUAGCUCCUCUGGUAUACAUCUGCCAUCUGCACUCAAAUUGCAUACCAGCUCAGAAAUGUAGGCUGCAUUUUCAAGCAAAAUUUUGUCCAUCAUGAAGACCAUGUUUCCUGGAACCGGUGCUUUGCUGCUGAUGCUUGACUACACAGUUACUGACCCUCAAGAGCCUUGGAUUGCCCUGUGCAACCCUAGUGUGUCCCCUUUUCCCUCAAUUGUUUACAUGACCUGCAUCUUAAGUUCCUCCACUGUAUUACUCUUCUCAUACCUUUCUUGUCUAAUUUGCUAAACAAAUUAUUUAUUACCAUGAAAGUAUCCAGUAUGCAUGAGUGGUCAUAAUGUUGCCUAUACAGUCCUUUCUUGCAUUCUGAGAGUUUUGCAUCAGUUGUACAAUAUUUGUCAUACGAGAGCAAGAAUGUUUGCCGUCACCCCUUAGGUUGUGAAUAUGUGUUGCUGGAUUGUUAAUUGCCGUGUUCAGUUUUUGUCCGAGCUUUUGUACCUUGUAAUAUUGCCCUGCACCUGGCCUGAAUGAGCUUUUAUAUAAGCAAAAUUUAAUUUUUACUGAUCGUGCUUAAAUUUACGUGGACCACAAAAAUAAACCUUGUCGCCACAGGUC